rnacentral:rRNA from 1 species
GAUGAACGCUAGCUACAGGCUUAACACAUGCAAGUCGAGGGACGGGCGUACGGGUAAGUAACGCGUAUCCAACCUUCCCAUUACUGUGGGAUAACCUGCCGAAAGGCAGACUAAUACCGCAUAGUAAUGGCUGGGGAUGCUUCUGAUUAGCUUGUUGGCGGGGUAACGGCCAACCAAGGCGACGAUCAGUAGGGGUUCUGAGAGGAAGCACCCCGACAGUGGAACUGAGACACGGUCCAAACGCGUACGGGAGGCAGCAGUGAUGAAUAUUGGGCAAUGGGCGGAAGUCUGAACCAGCCAAGUAGCGUGCAGGAUGACGGCCUAUGGGUUUUAAUCUGCUUUUGUAUGGGGAUAGGUACCAUAUGAAUAAGGACCGGCUAAUUCCGUGCCAGCAGCCGCGGUAAUUC